AAUUUUCCCUCCAAACAAGUUAAAUCCCUAAAUCUCAUCUCUCGGAUCCCUCGAGGCUUCGAGUUCAUCGGAGAAGAAUCUUCCCUUCGGGACGAAAAGAGCUGCCGAUCCUUUUGUUGAAUAUGGUAACCAUUUGGAAACUGUAAUCCGGGGCUUCGAAUUGUAUCUCCUCCUCCAAUCUCCUGCAAACUGCGUUGUUUCAAAGAUCAGCAGUGAAGGAAUACGGCCAUCUGCAUUUUGGCGAAAUCUGCCCCUACACAGAGCCUCAUGCCACCACCAAAUGCCAUGAAAUGUUUUGAUGCGUUACUGGUUUCCAAUCCCUGUUUGAUUCCAUUUUAAAGUUGCUGAUAUUUUUGAGGUUGCUUGUGUAAAGGGGUCUAAGAAGUUUGGCUCACCUCCCAUCUUGAAGGGUUGAAGAUAAGAGGAUCUUCAUAUGUGUCUGGAUUCAAAUGUACGGCAGGAGGACAGAUUAUCAGUCCCCAACCGGCUGGAAUGGAAGCAUCUUCUUGAGACCUUCGUGGCCAACGAGGGUCAGGACCAUGUUCUUGAGGUACUUGUACAUGAACCCAUGCAGUGUACUCAAAUUCUGCCUUCCAAAGAUCCGAACGAAGGUGUCAGGGGUGGGAUGUCUGAAGUGAUAUUUGGCUUGAGGAACUGAAGUGUCUCCCCAAGAAGCGGAAAGGCCAUGGAACCGGGAGGCAGAGUUCCAUUG